rnacentral:rRNA from 1 species
GGUGGGGGAGGGAUUUGUCUUCUUCUCGUCGGAUCGCAGAGUUUUACUUUGAAUAAAUUAGGGUGUUCAAAGCAGACGAAUACGUCUUGAAUAGAUUAGCAUGGGAUAAUGAAAUAAGACCUUCAAGAAGGGAAAGAGGCUUCUGUCUUUUUUCCUUUUCGGCUUAAGUUUGCUGGUUUCUGAGGCCGAGGUAAUGAUUAAUAGGGACGGUCGGGGUCGCUCGUACUCGGUGGUGAGAGGUGAAAUUCUAAGACCCAUCGAAGACGAACAAGUGCGAAGGCAUUCGACAAGGAUGUUUUCUUUAAUCAAGAACGAAAGUUAUGGGAUCGAAGAUGAUCAGAUACCGUCGUAGUCAUAACCGUAAACUAUGUUGACUCGGGAUCGGAGGAUGUUACAUGGAUGACUCUUCCGGCACCGUGUGCGAAAGCACAAGUAUUCGAACUCCGGGGGGAGUAUGGUCGCAAGGCUGAAACUUAAAGGAAUUGACGGAAGGGCACCACCAGGUGUGGAAUCUGCGGCUUAAUUUGACUCAACACGGGGAAACUUACCCAGUCCGGACGCGAUGAGGAUUGACAGAUUGAUAGUUCUUUCUUGAUUUUGUGGAAGCCGGUGCAUGGCCGUUUUUAGUUGGUGGAGCGAUUUGUCUGGUUAAGUCCGAUAACGAACGAGACCUAAAUUUAUUAAAUAGUGGUGCGGACAAGGGGGCUUUCGCUUUGUAGGCAGGGAUUUCGA